GCUCUGCCCCUCCUCCUCUUGUUCUGUCCACUGUGACUCAUGAGUUCCCAUUGAAAGCGACAGGCUGUGGUCUAUCUUGGGUUAGUUAUUAAACUCUUCGGAGUAGCUUUGCAGGAGGCAGGGGCGAAUGCGGCGGUGCGCAGCGAGGAAGUGUCGGGGAUUUAGCUAAAACAGUGUGUAAAGCUACUAGAAUCGCUUCGUAAUGCAGUGGCGUUGACACAGUAGAGAAAUACUCUUUCUAGAUAUCAUAACGGAGCUAAACACAUUGUGUUUGCAGUCCUGUAAUGAAGUUAUCUGGAGCUGUCAGUCCUGACAAGCUGACAGGAAGGGAACAGCAUUCAUGGAUGUAGUGGACACUUUCAACCAUUUGAUUCCCAGUGACCAGUUGGAUGACUCCUUGCUGAUAGGGCAGAACUUGGAAUGUGAAGCAAGUAAUGACUUUGGAACAGGUGUCGACCAGCUGGGAGACUCACUGAGGAACAUGCUUAGUGAUAAAGAUCCCAUGUUUGGAUCUGCAAGUUCACACUUCAAUAUCUUAGAUAAUGAAGACGCCAACUUCCAGAUCGCYGAAGCAACAGUAGUUGCAGAUCUUGAUGUUGGUGCAACAGAGGGUAUCCUCGGUACCGCUGCUGGUGGGUUGGUUGGUACAGAGACUUCGCCAGUCAAACGGUCUGUUGGCAGACCCAGGAAAUACGCAUUAGGAGUUACCCCAGAGCGAAGUGCAGGCAGGGGUCUUCCAACAACAAAAAGCCCCGGGAACCUGGGAGACCUAGAAAGAAGUCCACACUGAGUG